UACGAAGGGGGCUAGCGUUGUUCGGAAUCACUGGGCGUAAAGGGCGCGUAGGCGGCUUUGUAAGUCGGGGGUGAAAGCCUGUGGCUCAACCACAGAAUUGCCUUCGAUACUGCAUGGCUUGAGACCGGAAGAGGUUAGUGGAACUGCGAGUGUAGAGGUGAAAUUCGUAGAUAUUCGUAAGAACACCAGUGGCGAAGGCGGCUGACUGGUCCGGAUCUGACGCUGAGGCGCGAAAGCGUGGGGAGCAAACAGG
rnacentral:rRNA from 1 species